rnacentral:lncRNA from 1 species
CCCCCCCCGGGGAGGGUUCGGCUCCCCGAGCCAAGAGGCCCCCAGGAAAGGCUGCAGAGCAGGAAGGUGUUGGUAAUUUGGCAAAACACGAGGAGGAGGAGGGCGGCAGCCUCCCCAGCAGCGAGCUUCCUCGUGGCCGCAAUUAAGGCACGUAUGGAGUUGGGAACAGCACCAAACCGACGCGUGGCUGAACCGAACCCACCGUGAGAAGUGUCACCCUGCUCCCACACAGAAAUCACACUUCCCUGCCAGGCACGCUCGCCGCCUGUCUCUGGGCUAUUUUUGCCGCAUCCUUUUGGAGGCACAGCAGCCAGAACCGAGCACGGCGACUUCAGCAUUCAAAGGCAGACCGUAA